CCUACGGGAGGCAGCAGUAGGGAAUCUUUCACAAUGGGCGAAAGCCUGAUGGAGCAACGCCGCGUGCAGGAUGACGGCCUUCGGGUUGUAAACUGCUUUUAUAAGCGAGAAAUAUGAUGGUAACUUAUGAAUAAGGAUCGGCUAACUACGUGCCAGCAACCGCGGUCAUACGUAGGAUCCGAGCAUUAUCCGGAGUGACUGGGUGUAAAGAGUUGCGUAGGUGGCAUAAUAAGUAGCUAGUGAAAUCUGGUGGCUCAACCAUUCAGACUAUUAGCUAAACUGUUAAGCUCGAGACCGUUAGGGGUAACUGGAAUUUGUAGUGUAGGAGUGAAAUCCGUAGAUAUUAGAAGGAACACCAAUAGCGUAGGCAGGUUGCUGGGACGGUUCUGACACUAAGGCACGAAAGCGUAGGGAGCAAACGGGAUUAGAUACCCGUGUAGUC
rnacentral:rRNA from 1 species